UAAGUAGAUAGUGAAAUCUGGUGGCUCAACCAUUCAGACUAUUAUCUAAACUAUCUAGCUCGAGACUGUUAUGGGUAACUGGGAUUUCUAGUGUAGGAGUGAAAUCCGUAGAUAUUAGAAGGAACACCAAUAGCCUAGGCAGGUUACUGGAACAGUUCUGACACUAAGGCACGAAAGCGUAGGGAGCAAACGGGAUUAGAUACCCGGUAGUCUACGCCGUAAACGAUGGAUACUA
rnacentral:rRNA from 1 species